rnacentral:rRNA from 1 species
GUGCCAGAAGACUCGGUAAUACGGAGGGUGCUAGCGUUGUUCGGAAUUACUGGGCGUAAAGCGCACGUAGGCGGGUUUCUAAGUCAGGUGUGAAAUCCCGGGGCUCAACCUCGGAACUGCAUUUGAAACUGGAAGCCUAGAGUUCAGGAGAGGUUAGCGGAAUACCGAGUGUAGAGGUGAAAUUCGUAGAUAUUCGGUGGAACACCAGUGGCGAAGGCGGCUAACUGGACUGAUACUGACGCUGAGGUGCGAAAGUGUGGGGAGCAAACAGGAUUAGAUACCCUGGUAGUCCACACCGUAAACGAUGAGAGCUAGUUGUUGGCAGGCAUGCCUGUCGGUGACGCAGCUAACGCAUUAAGCUCUCCGCCUGGGGAGUACGGCCGCAAGGUUAAAACUCAAAUGAAUUGACGG